rnacentral:ncRNA from 1 species
CUGUAUAAAAAAGAAUGCAUUUGAUGGAUGCCCGGGCAUUGAGAAGGAAGGACGCUUUCAGAGGCGAAAGGCCAUGGGAAGAUCUCGUAUGUGAUCCAUGGAUCUCCGAUCGGGAAAUGGUAUCCAUGCUCCAUGGUUAGUCUGCGCUCUUUGGACUUUUUAAACUUAGCGAACUGAAACAUCUUAGUAGCUAAAAGAAGGGAAAUCAACUGAGACCCCGUUAGUUGCGGCGAGCCAGAGCGAAUUGGGGGUUUUCAGAAAAAGAAAGACGAGGCUUUGUUCAUUGACUCAAGUCGAUCUUCUUUGAUCCGCUUCGUGGGGUAAGCGAGUUCCUCAGCAAAGUGUGAACAUGAACUUUUUCUUUUUCGCCAGGUUUCACUCGCUUUGUUAUGGAUUCGAUGAUGGAAAAACCAGCAAGCCGCUUGACCUUUCAUACGAGGUCAAGGGUCAAAGAAUUUAAGUUGUGAAAAGGUUGGAAGAUCUGGCCAAAGAAGGUGAUAGCCUUGUAGAUUCGUUCCCAUGGUUCGAUCCUUCCCAGUCAAACAUGGCGUGUUUGAAUUCUGAUCGCUUUUACGCGAGAAAGAGGGUCCACCCUCAAAGCCUAAGUAUUCCUCAAUGAUCGAUAACGUACAAGUACCGUGAGGCAAAGGGGAAAAGAACCCUAUUUAGGGAGUGCAAUAAAGAACCUGAGAUCCGAUGCUUUCAAUCAGUCGAAGGAGUGGCAAGCCUUGACUUGAGAUUCUUUUAGUCAAGCUAUCUCACUCUAACAGUGUACCUUUUGCAUGAUAGGUCAGCGAGAAAAUGGGAACUGUGGGUUAAGCCAUUAGGUGUAGAUGCUUUCUAAAGGUGGAAGAUUCUCGUUCUUCCUAUUUGACCCGAAAUCGAUCAAUCUAGCCAUGAGCAGGUUGAAGAGAGCUCUAACAGGCCUUGAAGGACCAAACCCACGUAUGUGGGAAAAUACGGGGAUGACGUGUGGCUAGGGUUGAAAGGCCAACCAAGAUCGAAGAUAGCUUGUUUUCCGUGAAAUCUAUUUCAGUACAGCAUAUGAUGUCCAUGGCCCGAGGUAGAGCACUCAAUGGCUAGGGUUGCCCCAUUUCACCUUACCAACCCCAGGGAAAGUCCGAAUACAGGCCUAGAUCGUUUGUACAGACAGACUUUUGGGGUGCUAAGAUCCAAAGUCAAGAGGGAAAUAGCCCAGAUCGUACGCUAAGGUCCCUAAGCAAUCACUUAGUGGAAAAGGAAGUUCUCGAGCGAUGACAACCAGGAGGUGGGCUU